CCUACGGGAGGCAGCAGUGGGGAAUCUUGCGCAAUGGGCGAAAGCCUGACGCAGCAACGCCGCGUGCGGGAAGAAGGCUUUCGGGCUGUAAACCGCUUUCAGCAGGAACGAAAAUGACGGUACCUGCAGAAGAAGGAGCGGCCAACUAUGUGCCAGCAGCCGCGGUGAUACAUAGGCUUCAAGCGUUGUCCGGAUUUAUUGGGCGUAAAGAGUUCGUAGGCGGUCGAGUAAGUCGGGUGUGAAAAUUCUGGGCUCAACCCAGAGACGCCACCCGAUACUGCUUAACUUGAGUUCGAUAGGGGAGUGGGGAAUUCCUAGUGUAGCGGUGAAAUGCGCAGAUAUUAGGAGGAACACCGGUGGCGAAGGCGCCACUCUGGAUCGAUACUGACGCUGAGGAACGAAAGCAUGGGUAGCAAACAGGAUUAGAUACCCUGGUAGUCCAUGCCGUAAACGGUGGGCACUAGGUGUGGGAUUACUAUUAACGUAUUCGUCGCCGUCGCUACGCAUAAGUCGCCCGCCGUCGGGUAGGUACGGUCGCGAACGAACGUAAAACUUAAAAGUAGAAGUUAAGUACGGUCGUUGAGUACGUUGCCGAACGGACGACGACGAGGGAGGUUAGG
rnacentral:rRNA from 1 species